rnacentral:rRNA from 1 species
GACGAACGCUGGCGGCGUGCUUAACACAUGCCAGUCGAACGGAAAGGCCCUGCUUUUGUGGGGUGCUCGAGUGGCGAACGGGUGAGUAACACGUGAGUAACCUGCCCUUGACUUUGGGAUAACUUCAGGAAACUGGGGCUAAUACCGGAUAGGAGCUCCUGCUGCAUGGUGGGGGUUGGAAAGUUUCGGCGGUUGGGGAUGGACUCGCGGCUUAUCAGCUUGUUGGUGGGGUAGUGGCUUACCAAGGCUUUGACGGGUAGCCGGCCUGAGAGGGUGACCGGCCACAUUGGGACUGAGAUACGGCCCAGACGCCUACGGGAGGCAGCAGUGGGGAAUAUUGCACAAUGGGCGGAAGCCUGAUGCAGCAACGCGGCGUGCGGGAUGACGGCCUUCGGGUUGUAAACAGCUUUAGCCUGUGACGAAGCGUGAGUGACGGUAAUGGGUAAAGAAGCACCGGCUAACUACGUG